GUUUUGGGACCACAUGAAGACAGUCAUUCGGGGUCGGCGUUCAGAUCGAUGGCUCUGGUGAUCCUCUUAGCCUCCCUCUCCGCGGUGACCAGCUCCUCCAGGAACGUCUGGCCGCUGUGUUUAGCAGUUUUUACCUCCUCAAAAUCCUCCCAUGUGAACUCCGGCCUCCACAUCUUCCUGCUCUUCCUCUCUUCUCCUCGCACGGUGCGGCCUCCACAUUUGGCGACUUCGUGUAUCCGUCGAAGGAUUGCAACGAACUCCUCCACCUCCUCCUCGGACACCGCCAUAUUGACCUCGUUGCCUCCGUCGUCCGUGGACCGUUGCCU
rnacentral:misc_RNA from 1 species